UACGUAGGGAGCAAGCGUUGUCCGGAAUCAUUGGGCGUAAAGCGCGCGUAGGCGGCCCCGUAAGUCCGCUGUGAAAGUCAAAGGCUCAACCUUUGAAAGCCGGUGGAUACUGUGGGGCUAGAGUCCGGAAGAGGCGAGUGGAAUUCCUGGUGUAGCGGUGAAAUGCGCAGAUAUCAGGAGGAACACCGGUGGCGAAGGCGGUUCUCUGGGCCUGUUCUGACGCUGAGGAGCGAAAGCGUGGGGAGCGAACAGG
rnacentral:rRNA from 1 species